rnacentral:rRNA from 1 species
UUACGACCAUAUCACCUCGAAAUACCGGUUCCCUUAAAAUCACCGAAGUUAAGCAACGUAGAGCCUGACCAGUGCCUAGAUGGGUGACCACUUGGAAAUACCAAGUGCUGUAA